rnacentral:rRNA from 1 species
GUAAGGUACAGCCUACUUGAUAUAGGAUACAACCUAAAAAUGUGGCUAACCACAACCUUUAUAGCAAUAAAGUGGGCCUAAAAGCAGCCACCUUUUAAAUAGCGUCAAAGCUUACUUGCAAAACGGUCUAAUCACAAAAAUUUCUCUGAACCCCACAUCUGUACCGAGCAAUUCUAUAUUAUUAUAGAACUUUUUAUGUUAAAACUAGUAACAAGAAGACCCUUCUCUUUUAUGCAAGCAUAAGUCAGCUAGGACCUACCACUGAUAAUUAACACCUCUGAGUCCACAGUAGAAACACCACAAGAAAACCCUACUACACUUUGCGUUAACCUAACACAAGAGCAUAACAAGAAAGAUUAAAAGAAAAAGAAGGAACUCGGCAAACAUUAACCCCGCCUGUUUACCAAAAACAUCGCCUCUUGACCACCCUAUAAGAGGUCCAGCCUGCCCAGUGACUCUGUUCAACGGCCGCGGUAUCCUAACCGUGCGAAGGUAGCGUAAUCACUUGUUCUUUAAAUGAGGACUAGUAUGAAUGGCACCACGAAGGUUAUACUGUCUCCUUUUUCUAAUCAGUGAAACUAAUCUUCCCGUGAAGAAGCGGGAAUAAAGCUAUAAGACGAGAAGACCCUAUGGAGCUUUAAACAAACAUACACCUGCCUUUCUCCCUGAAAAUUUCAGAAAAAAACCAUUAUUUAGGCAUCUUGAUAUAAAGUUUUAGGUUGGGGUGACCACGGAGUAAAAAAUAACCUCCGCAAUGAAAGGGGCUUUACCCCUAAACUAAGGACUACGAUCCUAAGAAUCAAAAAAUUGACACCAAUUGACCCAAUAUAUUUGAUCAAUGAACCAAGUUACCCUAGGGAUAACAGCGCAAUCCACUUCAAGAGCCCCUAUCGACAAGUGGGUUUACGACCUCGAUGUUGGAUCAGGGUAUCCUAGUGGUGCAGCCGCUACUAACGGUUCGUUGUUCAACGAU